GUCAAGGAUGACUAAUGGAAGAUGAGGUUGGGGGGACAUUUGGGCGCCAGUAGGGCCUCUGUGUGCUCAGAAUUCACUAUGGAAUGUGGAGUGGCUAUGGUCAAAACCACUUAGAAGGUUCUAGUCAAAGCACACCCAGUUACUGUUAAAUAUGAAUACAUUUUGGAGUUUCAAUGAACUGACCUAUUACACUCAUUUUCUAAAUGAAAUCAAUUUAAGAGAAAAAAAAUUCUACUCAAAUAGUGUCACUAAGUGUUAAUGGUGCCAGUGGUGAAACAAUUUCCCCCCGUUUUCUGCAAGGAGCCUGAGUUUGUUAUAAACAAAAGCAAAAGUUUUAUUUUAAAGUAUCUUACAGAUAGGGGUGCAAGGACACUGAGGGGGAAUAAAGCUU
rnacentral:lncRNA from 1 species